rnacentral:rRNA from 1 species
UACACAUGCAGUCGAGCGGGGNAGAUGUAGCUUGCUACNUUACCUAGCGGCGGACGGGUGAGUAAUGCUUAGGAAUCUGCCUAUUAGUGGGGGACAACAUUCCGAAAGGAAUGCUAAUACCGCAUACGCCCUACGGGGGAAAGCAGGGGAUCUUCGGACCUUGCGCUAAUAGAUGAGCCUAAGUCAGAUUAGCUAGUUGGUGGGGUAAAGGCCUACCAAGGCGACGAUCUGUAGCGGGUCUGAGAGGAUGAUCCGCCACACUGGGACUGAGACACGGCCCAGACUCCUACGGGAGGCAGCAGUGGGGAAUAUUGGACAAUGGGCGCAAGCCUGAUCCAGCCAUGCCGCGUGUGUGAAGAAGGCCUUUUGGUUGUAAAGCACUUUAAGCGAGGAGGAGGCUACUUGGAUUAAUACUCUNGGAUAGUGGACGUUACUCGCAGAAUAAGCACCGGCUAACUCUGUGCCAGCAGCCGCGGUAAUACAGAGGGUGCGAGCGUUAAUCGGAUUUACUGGGCGUAAAGCGUGCGUAGGCGGCUUUUUAAGUCGGAUGUGAAAUCCCUGAGCUUAACUUAGGAAUUGCAUUCGAUACUGGGAAGCUAGAGUAUGGGAGAGGAUGGUAGAAUUCC